rnacentral:snRNA from 1 species
AGCUUUGCACAGUGGCAGUAUCGCAGCCAAUGAGGUUAAUCUGAGGCGCGAUUAUUGCUAAUUUAAUUUUUUUAAGAGUCGG